GAUGAACGCUAGCGGCAGGCCUAAUACAUGCAAGACGAACGGUAAGUUGAGUAGCAAUACUUAGCCAAGAGUGUCGUACGGGUGCGUAACACGUAUGCAACCUACCCUAUACAGGAGGAUAGCCUAGGGAAACCUGGAUUAACCCUUCAUAGUAUUAUUGGAUGGCAUCAUUUGAUAAUUAAAACUGAGGUGGUAUAGGAUGGGCAUGCGUCUGAUUAGUUAGUUGGCGGGGUAAUGGCCCACCAAGACGAUGAUCAGUAGGGGUUCUGAGAGGAAGAUCCCCCACACUGGCACUGAGAUACGGGCCAGACUCCUACGGGAGGCAGCAGUAGGGAAUAUUGGUCAAUGGAUGCAAGUCUGAACCAGCCAUGCCGCGUGCAGGGAA
rnacentral:rRNA from 1 species